CUCCGGUGGAUCCUGCCGGAACCCGACUGCUAUCGGAUUGAGAUUUAGCCAUGCGAGUCGAACGUCCCCCUGUUGCGGGGGGCGUGGCGUACGGCUCAGUAACACGUAGUCAAUCUGCCCUGGAGACAAGGACAACCCCGGGAAACUGGGAUUAAUCCUUGAUAGGUCAUCUCAUCUGGAAGGAGAGAUGGCUUAAAGGGGUACGCGGGCUUCUUCCGCGAAUUCGCUCCAGGAUGGGACUGCGUCCGAUCAGGCUGUUGGCGGGGUAAUGGCCCACCAAACCUGUAACCGGUACGGGCCUUGAGAGAGGUGGCCCGGAGAUGGACACUGAGAGAAGGGUCCAGGUCCUACGGGGCGCAGCAGGCGCGAAACCUUCGCAAUGCGCGAAAGCGUGACGAGGUUAAUCCGAGUGAUUUCCGCUGAGGAGAUCUUUUGUCAGCUGUAAAUAGGCAGGCGAAUAAGGGGAGGGCAAGUCUGGUGUCAGCCGCCGCGGUAAUACCAGCUCCUCGAGUGGUCGGGGCGAUUAUUGGGCCUAAAGCAUCCGUAGCCGGUUCCAUAGGUCUCCUGCAAAAUCCAGUCGCUCAACGAUUGGCCCGCAGGAGAUACCGCGGGACUAGGAGGCGGGAGAGGUGGACGGUACUCCACGUGUAGGGGUAAAAUCCUUUGAUCCGUGGAAGACCACCAGUGGCGAAGGCGGUCCACCAGAACGCGCUCGACGGUGAGGGAUGAAAGCUGGGGGAGCGAACCGGAUUAGAUACCCGGGUAGUCCCAGCCGUAAACGAUGCGAGCUAGAUGAUCCAGUCGCAAAUCGCGACUGGAGUGUCGCAGGGAAGCCGUUAAGCUCGCCGCCUGGGGAGUACGGUCGCAAGACUGAAACUUAAAGAAUUGCCGGGGGAGCA
rnacentral:rRNA from 1 species